rnacentral:rRNA from 1 species
AAAGGAAUUGACGGGGACCCGCACAAGCGGUGGAUGAUGUGGAUUAAUUCGAUGCAACGCGAAAAACCUUACCUACCCUUGACAUGUCUGGAAUCCUUGAGAGAUCAGGGAGUGCCUUCGGGAGCCAGAACACAGGUGCUGCAUGGCUGUCGUCAGCUCGUGUCGUGAGAUGUUGGGUUAAGUCCCGCAACGAGCGCAACCCUUGUCGCUAAUUGCCAUCAUUUGGUUGGGCACUUUAGCGAGACUGCCGGUGACAAACCGGAGGAAGGUGGGGAUGACGUCAAGUCCUCAUGGCCCUUAUGGGUAGGGCUUCACACGUCAUACAAUGGUCGGUACAGAGGGUUGCCAAGCCGCGAGGUGGAGCUAAUCUCAAAAAGCCGAUCGUAGUCCGGAUCGUAGUCUGCAACUCGACUACGUGAAGUCGGAAUCGCUAGUAAUCGUGGAUCAGCAUGCCACGGUGAAUACGUUCCCGGGUCUUGUACACACCGCCCGU